AUGGUGCCGACACGCCAAUUGCAUGACUACAUCCAGAUCUCUUCGGACUAUGCAGACGACAAAAUCCAGACACGCCGGUCACUAGGUGGCGCUAUACCAAGGAACUCCCACACUGAACCUCCCACAUUCAAAACCUUGCACACACAUAUUCACUGGAGUCUGCUGCAUCUUUUGGCAUAGGCCACGCCCACUUGCGUCCAGAAUUUUUUUUCGCAAAAUCGCGAAAACCGCAAAACUGUUUUUUCCCUACUCCUCCCACAUUUCUUGACCAAUCGACACCAAACUUUGCACACGACAUCUUCAGACGCACACGCAAAGAAUGCAUGAAACACUUUUUUGAUCCGUCCUUCGAUAACGAAACGGUAGCGUUUUGAAUAUUGGUUUAUGAGCUAAAUUAGACGUGGAAAAUCAAAAAUCCAAAGAAAUCCAAAAUUAGACAUCGGAACAAGUCCAAAUUGUGCACACAUGUUGGUGCUAACCUUAAUGUCGUACGAUAAAAAUUUCGGAAAAUUUCGCCAUUAGGGGGCGCAAUAAACGAGGAAAUUGUAUAUCUUCUACAAAAUUUUGCCGCGAAAACGCCACACUGACUUCUCGCUACUCCUACCACAGUCAAAUCCUUUGUAUCCACAGGUUCAGGGUAGCGUUUUGAACACAUACUUCGCGUUGUGCCGGCGAAAUGCACACUUCUUGGACCCCUGCAUAACUGCUUGCAGUUCUAGUUAGGGGUCCAAGCCAACAGGUUGGAUCCCUAUUGUUUUUGUAAGGAUUUUUCAUAUUAUUAUUAUUAUUAUUAUUAGGGGUCCAAGCCAACAGGUUGGAUCCCUAUUGUUUUUGUAAGGAUUUUUCCUAUUAUUAUUAGGGGUCCAAGCCAACAGGUUGGAUCCCUAUUGUUUUUGUAAGGAUUUUUAGGGGUCCAAGCCAACAGGUUGGAUCCCUAUUGUUUUUGUAAGGAUUUUUAUUAGGGGUCCAAGCCAACAGGUUGGAUCCCUAUUGUUUUUGUAAGGAUUUUUCCUAUUAUUAUUAUUAUUAUUAUUAUUAUUCUUCCCCCCGUACUUGUGGGACUACAGCCCAAACCGUAAAUGGUGCACACGCGCCAAUUGCAUGACUAGAUCCAGGUCCGGCACCGCUACUCAGAUAACCAAAUCCAGACGCGCCGGACACUAGGUGGCGCUAUACCAAGGACAGACGCGUUUGGGGCAAUAACUCCCACACCGAAUCUCCCACAUUCAAAAACUUGUACGCACAGAUUCACUGGAGCCUGCUGCAUCUUUUGGCAUAGGCCACGCCCAUUUGCGUCUAUAAUUUUUUUUCGCAAAAUCGCGAAAACCGCAAAAAUGCUUUUUCCCUACUCCUCCCACAUUUCUUGACCAAUCAACACCAAACUUUGCACACGACAUCUUCAGACGCACGCGCAAAGAAUGCAGGAAACAAUUUUUUGAUGCGACCUUUGACAACGAAACGGUAGCGUUUUGAAUAUUGGUUUAUUAGCUAAAUUAGACGUGGAAUAUCAAAAAUCCAAAGAAAUCCAAAAUUAGACAUCGGAUCGAGUCCAAAUUUUACACACAUGUUGGUGUUAAUCUUAAUGUCGUUCGAUAAAAAUUUCGGAAAAAUUCGCCAUUAGGGGGCGCAAUAAACGAGGAAAUUGUAUAUCUUCUACAAAAUUUCGCCGCGAAAACGCUACCCUGACUUCUUGCUACUCCUACCACAGUCAAAUCCUUUGUAUCCACAGGUUCAGGGUAGCGUUUCGAACACAUGCUUCACGUUGUGCCGGCAAAACGCACAUUUCUUGUCGCGUUGUGCCGGCGAAAUGCACACUUCUUGGACCCCUGCAUAACUGCUUGCAGUUCUAGUUAUUAUACUUCCCGCGCUAAAAGUGGGCCCACAGCCCAAACCGUAAAUGGUGCCGACACGCCAAUUGCAUGACUAGAUCCAGGUCCGGCACCGCUACUCAGAUAACAAAAUCCAGACACGCCGGCCACUAGGUGGCGCUAUACCAAGGAAUACGCGUUUGGGGCUAUAACUCCCACACUGAACCUCCCACAUUCAAAACCUUGCACACACAUAUUCACUGGAGUCUGCUGCAUCUUUUGGCAUAGGCCACGCCCACUUGCGUCCAGAAUUUUUUUUCGCAAAAUCGCGAAAACCGCAAAACUGUUUUUUCCCUACUCCUCCCACAUUUCUUGACCAAUCGACACCAAACUUUGCACACGACAUCUUCAGACGCACACGCAAAGAAUGCAUGAAACACUUUUUUGAUCCGUCCUUCGAUAACGAAACGGUAGCGUUU
rnacentral:lncRNA from 1 species